rnacentral:lncRNA from 1 species
GUGCGGCGGGGGCUGCGGAGUGCUCCCUCCAAGACCGGUUGCACCCCGCUUUCCUGGCCAGGACUCUGGGCGCAGUUGGAGGCAUCUGUCCACCCAUGUGGUUCCAGACACGUUCAUGUGGCCACCAUGACCCCGUCGGCAUCACAGGAGUAACCAAGAGCGAGGGGAAAGGGUCACUGUGGAUCAAGCCAGGCUCCUCUGAGCAGUCCAGGAUCUAUUUACAGAGAGCAGCAAGUUCCUGGGACAGAGGAGACAGAAGGGAAUUUCCAGGUUCUUCAGGACGUUCACAACCACACUGAGAAGCAUCUUUGCAGAUAAGUAUUUAAACUUACCAGCCCAUAGCCUACCAGCCUGCCCUCUUCUGGUCUGUGCAGGAAAGUGUAGUAUCCUAGAAUACCAAAGUGGGAGGGGAAAUGGGUGAUGUAGCUCAUUCUCUUUUCUACCUCUAUGGAAGAAAGAAAGAGCCUGUCCCCAUUUUGUGGGGUCCCAGAAAGGGUGAUUUUCACACUUCACAUUUGGCAUUAGGGCUAGUAUUUUACAAACAUUACCGUCUGGAACUUUUGAAGGCUGAGUUAAAUGACUUCAUCUUGUGUACUUGUAGAACUGCUAUUA